UAACACAUGCAAGUCGAGGGGRAACGACAUCGAAAGCUUGCUUUUGAUGGGCGUCGACCGGCGCACGGGUGAGUAACGCGUAUCCAACCUGCCCACCACUUGGGGAUAACCUUGCGAAAGUAAGACUAAUACCCAAUGAUAUCUCUAGAAGACAUCUGAAAGAGAUUAAAGAUUUAUCGGUGAUGGAUGGGGAUGCGUCUGAUUAGCUUGUUGGCGGGGUAACGGCCCACCAAGGCGACGAUCAGUAGGGGUUCUGAGAGGAAGGUCCCCCACAUUGGAACUGAGACACGGUCCAAACUCCUACGGGAGGCAGCAGUGAGGAAUAUUGGUCAAUGGACGAGAGUCUGAACCAGCCAAGUAGCGUGCGGGAUGACGGCCCUAUGGGUUGUAAACUGCUUUUAUAAGGGAAUAAAGUGAGUCUCGUGAGACUUUUUGCAUGUACCUUAUGAAUAAGGACCGGCUAAUUCCGUGCCAGCAGCCGCGGUAAUACGGAAGGUCCGGGCGUUAUCCGGAUUUAUUGGGUUUAAAGGGAGCGUAGGCCGGAGAUUAAGCGUGUUGUGAAAUGUAGACGCUCAACGUCUGCACUGCAGCGCGAACUGGUUUCCUUGAGUACGCACAAAGUGGGCGGAAUUCGUGGUGUAGCGGUGAAAUGCUUAGAUAUCACGAAGAACUCCGAUUGCGAAGGCAGCUCACUGGAGCGCAACUGACGCUGAAGCUCGAAAGUGCGGGUAUCGAACAGGAUUAGAUACCCUGGUAGUCCGCACGGUAAACGAUGGAUGCCCGCUGUUGGUCUGAAUAGGUCAGCGGCCAAGCGAAAGCGUUAAGCAUCCCACCUGGGGAGUACGCCGGCAA
rnacentral:rRNA from 1 species